GACGAACGCUGGCGGCGUGCCUAAUACAUGCAAGUCGAGCGAAGCGGGGACGGGGGAGUAACACGUGGGUAACCUCCUCUAAGACGGGGAUAACUUCGGGAAACGGGAGCUAAACCGGAUACUUAUAACUGGAUCCGCGCUGCAUUGGCUAGUUGGUAGGGUAACGGCUUACAAAGGCAACGAUGUAUAGCCGACCUGAGAGGGUGUUCGUCCACCCUGGAACUGAGAAACGGUCCAGACUCCUACGGGAGGCAGCAGUAGGGAAUCUUCCGCAAUGGGCGAAAGCCUGACGGAGCAACGCCGCGUGAGUGAUGAAGGUCUUCGGAUCGUAAAACUCUGUUAUUAGGGAAGCGGUACCUAAUCAGAAAGCCACGGCUAACUACGUGCCAGCAGCCGCGGUAAUUC
rnacentral:rRNA from 1 species